UUUUUUUUUUGCCUUGCUGAAUAUGACUUUUUCUUUUAACAAAAAAUGCCGAAUUGAUGUGAUCGUGAAUUCAAAUUUCGAUAGGUGUUAGAGAUUUUAUUGACCAUUCUGCUGUUGAUAGCUACUUAUUAAUAGCCGAAACCGGUGUUUUAUAAUAAAGAGCAUGAAAGAAGUUUUUGGUUUAUUGAAAUUUUAUUCGAUGAGAGUGUGUUGUUGACUUGCAGCUUACAUCUUAUUGACGCUGUUGCAACUAAUAUGCAAUUAUACAGGAUCAUCCACGACGACCGUCCAUUACCUAACUAACUAUACAGGAACUAUACAGGCUGCCCAUUAUGUAUGGAAUAUAGUACAUAUAUAUAUCUUGAAAACAAACGAGCAACGAAUAAUACUUGAAGUUUUUUAAAUGGCAAUGUAUCCUUUCUUUAGGCUGAUUUGAUAGAAAUUACUUUUCUCUUUACGAUGACGUAAAAUUUUUAUACCCUUA